GACGAAGGGGGCUAGCGUUGUUCGGAAUUACUGGGCGUAAAGCGCGUGUAGGCGGUUGUCCAAGUUGGAUGUGAAAGCCUUGAGCUCAACUCAAGAAAUGCAUUCAGGACUGGAUGACUAGAGGACCGGAGAGGAUAGUGGAAUUCCCAGUGUAGUGGUGAAAUACGUAGAGAUUGGGAAGAACACCAGUGGCGAAGGCGGCUAUCUGGACGGUUUCUGACGCUAAGACGCGAAAGCGUGGGGAGCAAAC
rnacentral:rRNA from 1 species